AACGCACCUUGCGCUCCUUGGUAUUCCGAGGAGCAUGCCUGUUUGAGUGUCAUGAAAACCCUCAACCCUAGAUUGGUUAAAACCUUUCUUUGGUUUGGAUUUGGACGUUUGCCGAUGAUAAGUCGGCUCGUCUUAAAAGUAAUAGCUGGAUCUGUCUCGCGACAUGGUUUGACUUGGCGUAAUAAGUAUUUCGCUAAGGACAUCUUCGGAUGGCCGCGUUGCAGGACUAAAGACCGCUUUCUAAUCCAUUGAUCUUCGGAUUAAUACUCUUGACAUCUGGCCUCAAAUCAGGUAGGACUACCCGCUGAACUUAA
rnacentral:misc_RNA from 1 species